rnacentral:rRNA from 1 species
CCUACGGGAGGCAGCAGUGAGGAAUAUUGGUCAAUGGACGAGAGUCUGAACCAGCCAAGUAGCGUGAAGGAUGACUGCCCUAUGGGUUGUAAACUUCUUUUAUAAAGGACUAAAACGAGGCACGUGUGCCUUUUUGCAUGUACUUUAUGAAUAAGGAUCGGCUAACUCCGUGCCAGCAGCCGCGGUAAUCCGGAGGAUCCGAGCGUUAUCCGGAUUUGUUGGGUUUAAAGGGAGCGUAGAUGGGUUGUUAAGUCAGUUGUGAAAGUUUGCGGCUCAACCGUAAAAUUGCAAUUGAUACUGGCAGUCUUGAGGACAGUUGAGGUAGGCGGAAUUCGUGGUGUAGCGGUGAAAUGCUUAGAUAUCACGAAGAACCCCGAUUGCGAAGGCAGCUUACUAAACUGUGACUGACAUUGAUGCUCGAAAGUGUGGGUAUCAAACAGGAUUAGAUACCCCGGUAGUC